rnacentral:rRNA from 1 species
AUGGCUCGGGAUGAACGCUAGCGACAGGCCUAACACAUGCAAGUCGAGGGGCAGCGGGAUUGAAGCUUGCUUAAUGCCGGCGACCGGCGCACGGGUGCGUAACAGGUGUGCAAUCUGUCCAUAGUCGGGGAAUAGCCCAGCGAAAGUUGGAUUAAUGCUCCAUGUGAAUCGAGACCGCAUGAUCUUGAUUUGAAACGUAAGGACUAUGGGUGAGCACGCUUCUGAUUAGAUAGUUGGUGAGGUAACGGCUCACCAAGUCGACGAUCAGUAGGGGUUCUGAGAGGAAGGUCCCCCACAUUGGAACUGAGACACGGUCCAAACUCCUACGGGAGGCAGCAGUGAGGAAUAUUGGUCAAUGGGCGAGAGCCUGAACCAGCCAAGUCGCGUGAAAGGAUGAAGGUUCUAUGGAUUGUAAACUUCUUUUGUCCGAGGGUAAAAAAGGCCACGUGUGGCUUCUUGCAAGUAUCGGACGAAUAAGCAUCGGCUAACUCCGUGCCAGCAGCUGC